rnacentral:rRNA from 1 species
UACAGAGGGGGCAAGCGUUAUUCGGAAUUAUUGGGCGUAAAGGGCUCGUAGGCGGCCAACUCAGUCGGACGUGAAAUCCCUCGGCUUAACCGGGGAACUGCGUCCGAUACUGGAUGGCUUGAGUGUGGGAGAGGGAUGCGGAAUUCCAGGUGUAGCGGUGAAAUGCGUAGAUAUCUGGAGGAACACCGGUGGCGAAGGCGGCAUCCUGGACUACUACUGACGCUGAGGAGCGAAAGCCAGGGGAGCAAACGGG